rnacentral:rRNA from 1 species
GGCUUACCAAGGCGAUGAUGCAUAGCCGAGUUGAGAGACUGAUCGGCCACAUUGGGACUGAGACACGGCCCAWACUCCUACGGGAGGCAGCAGUAGGGAAUCUUCCACAAUGGACGCAAGUCUGAUGGAGCAACGCCGCGUGAGUGAAGAAGGUUUUCGGAUCGUAAAGCUCUGUUGUUGGUGAAGAAGGAUNAGAGGUAGUAACUG